GAUGAACGCUGGCGGCGUGCCUAAUACAUGCAAGUCGAGCGAACGGACGAGAAGCUUGCUUCUCUGAUGUUAGCGGCGGACGGGUGAGUAACACGUGGAUAACCUACCUAUAAGACUGGGAUAACUUCGGGAAACCGGAGCUAAUACCGGAUAAUAUUUUGAACCGCAUGGUUCAAAAGUGAAAGACGGUCUUGCUGUCACUUAUAGAUGGAUCCGCGCUGCAUUAGCUAGUUGGUAAGGUAACGGCUUACCAAGGCAACGAUGCAUAGCCGACCUGAGAGGGUGAUCGGCCACACUGGAACUGAGACACGGUCCAGACUCCUACGGGAGGCAGCAGUAGGGAAUCUUCCGCAAUGGGCGAAAGCCUGACGGAGCAACGCCGCGUGAGUGAUGAAGGUCUUCGGAUCGUAAAACUCUGUUAUUAGGGAAGAACAUAUGUGUAAGUAACUGUGCACAUCUUGACGGUACCUAAUCAGAAAGCCACGGCUAACUACGUGCCAGCAGCCGCGGUAAUACGUAGGUGGCAAGCGUUAUCCGGAAUUAUUGGGCGUAAAGCGCGCGUAGGCGGUUUUUUAAGUCUGAUGUGAAAGCCCACGGCUCAACCGUGGAGGGUCAUUGGAAACUGGAAAACUUGAGUGCAGAAGAGGAAAGUGGAAUUCCAUGUGUAGCGGUGAAAUGCGCAGAGAUAUGGAGGAACACCAGUGGCGAAGGCGACUUUCUGGUCUGUAACUGACGCUGAUGUGCGAAAGCGUGGGGAUCAAACAGGAUUAGAUACCCUGGUAGUCCACGCCGUAAACGAUGAGUGCUAAGUGUUAGGGGGUUUCCGCCCCUUAGUGCUGCAGCUAACGCAUUAAGCACUCCGCCUGGGGAGUACGACCGCAAGGUUGAAACUCAAGGGAAUUGACGGGGACCCGCACAAGCGGUGGAGCAUGUGGUUUAAUUCGAAGCAACGCGAAGAACCUUACCAAAUCUUGACAUCCUUUGACAACUCUAGAGAUAGAGCCUUCCCCUUCGGGGGACAAAGUGACAGGUGGUGCAUGGUUGUCGUCAGCUCGUGUCGUGAGAUGUUGGGUUAAGUCCCGCAACGAGCGCAACCCUUAAGCUUAGUUGCCAUCAUUAAGUUGGGCACUCUAAGUUGACUGCCGGUGACAAACCGGAGGAAGGUGGGGAUGACGUCAAAUCAUCAUGCCCCUUAUGAUUUGGGCUACACACGUGCUACAAUGGACAAUACAAAGGGCAGCGAAACCGCGAGGUCAAGCAAAUCCCAUAAAGUUGUUCUCAGUUCGGAUUGUAGUCUGCAACUCGGCUACAUGAAGCUGGAAUCGCUAGUAAUCGUAGAUCAGCAUGCUACGGUGAAUACGUUCCCGGGUCU
rnacentral:rRNA from 1 species